GACGAACGCUGGCGGCGUGCUUAACACAUGCAAGUCGAACGGAAAGGCCUGCUUUCCCUUGUGGAUUGCGGGUGCUCGAGUGGCGAACGGGUGAGUAACACGUGAGUGAUCUGCCCCCAACUUGGGUAUAAGCCCGGGAAACUGGGUCUAAUUCCCGAUAGGACUGCAGGGUGGUGCCUGUGGUGGAAAACGAUUUUCUAGUGGUUGGGGAUGAGCUCGCGGCCUAUCAGCUUGUUGGUGGGGUAAUGGCCUACCAAGGCGGCGACGGGUAGCCGGCCUGGGAGGGGGGACGGGCACAUUGGGACUGGGAAACGGCCCAGACUCCUACGGGAGGCAGCAGUGGGGAAUAUUGCACAAUGGGCGGAAGCCUGAUGCAGCGACGCCGCGUGGGGGAUGACGGCCUUCGGGUUGUAAACUCCUUUCGACCGCGAGGAAGCCACCUGGUUGGAAGGGUGGUGACGGUAGUGGUAGAAGAAGCACCGGCUAACUACGUG
rnacentral:rRNA from 1 species